rnacentral:tRNA from 1 species
GGGGAUAUAGUUCAGUUGGUAGAGUACUUGCCUCUCAUGCAAGAGGCUCUGGGUUCAAUCCCCAGCACCACA